rnacentral:tRNA from 1 species
GUCUUGGUAGUUCAGUGAUAGAAUUCUCGUCCUUUAUGCAGAAGACCCAGGUUCGAUUCCUGGCUAACGUA